AUGAUUCCACCUUGUCACGUCUUCUUCUUCAAAGUCACGACAUUUCCAAACUUUCUCAAUCUUCCAUCAUAUUACAAACUCCCUUAUGAUAAUCCCAAACCAGCGUUAAAUCCAAACAGAAAAAACAGUUAUCCACACAAUGUCAAGCAUGAUGCAAUUCCCCAAUUAACCAGUGCAACCCUACACACAAAACCUUGCACCAGUUCAGCCCUGCACAUAACAAAUGAGCUAGCCUUGCUUUUCACUAACCGAAAAUAA
rnacentral:lncRNA from 1 species